AACGUUUUCAUAGCGUGCCAUGUCAAUCUUCGUUUAACAACAGAACAUAUUUAGUUUUAAUGUAAUUUAUAGCAAGAGGGUCUUAUUUCAAAAAUAAUUAAAUAAAAAAUAACAAAUAAACCAAUGGCAACACGCAAAUCUUAAAUUUACAUUUGAAUUGUUCUCCAACUAAGUCAGUUAUCCUCAAUAGCUGAGACCGAUCGGACGUAUUGCUCAAAUAUGGAUGCGAAGUUGAGCUUACUGAUAGUAGGUGCAGCUAUGUUCGCUUUAACACAUCAUUGCUCAGCAUUACUUACGGCGUAUGCGAAUGAUGGAGAAUGUACCGCUGACGAGGCUAACUCAGUAUGUGAUACAGGAGCUGAUGGUGA